rnacentral:rRNA from 1 species
GACGAACGCUGGCGGCGUGCUUAACACAUGCAAGUCGAACGGAAAGGCCCUGCUUUUGUGGGGUGCUCGAGUGGCGAACGGGUGAGUAACACGUGAGUAACCUGCCCUUGACUUUGGGAUAACUUCAGGAAACUGGGGCUAAUACCGGAUAGGAGCUCCUGCUGCAUGGUGGGGGUUGGAAAGUUUCGGCGGUUGGGGAUGGACUCGCGGCUUAUCAGCUUGUUGGUGGGGUAGUGGCUUACCAAGGCUUUGACGGGUAGCCGGCCUGAGAGGGUGACCGGGCACAUUGGGGGUGAGAUACGGCCCAGACUCCUACGGGAGGCAGCAGUGGGGAAUAUUGCACAAUGGGCGGAAGCCUGAUGCAGCAACGCCGCGUGCGGGAUGACGGCCUUCGGGUUGUAAACCGCUUUCGCCUGUGACGAAGCGUGAGUGACGGUAAUGGGUAAAGAAGCACCGGCUAACUACGUG